CCGCCCGUCACACCACGAGAGUUUACAACACCCGAAGUCGGUGAGGUAACCGCAAGGAGCCAGCCGCCGAAGGUGGGGUAGAUGAUUGGGGUGAAGUCGUAACAAGGUAGCCGUAUCGGAAGGUGCGGCUGGAUCACCUCCUUUCUAUGGAGA
rnacentral:rRNA from 1 species